UCGAGGAUCUUUGGCAAUGAGCGCAAGCUUGACCAAGCGACGCCGCGUGUGCGAUGAAGGCCUUCGGGUUGUAAAGCACUGUCGAGGGGGACGAAGCCGCAAGGUUGACCGAUCCCUGGAGGAAGCACGGGCUAAGUUCGUGCCAGCAGCCGCGGUAAGACGAACCGUGCGAACGUUGUUCGGAAUCACUGGGCUUAAAGGGCGCGUAGGCGGCUUGUCAAGUCGGGGGUGAAAUCCGGCAGCUUAACUGUCGAAGUGCCUUCGAUACUGACAAGCUCGAGGGAGGUAGGGGUCUGUGGAACUUCUGGUGGAGCGGUGAAAUGCGUUGAUAUCAGAAGGAACGCCGGUGGCGAAAGCGACGGACUGGAUCUCUUCUGACGCUGAGGCGCGAAAGCUAGGGGAGCGAACGG
rnacentral:rRNA from 1 species